CCCCGUUACCCCAUAAUAGGAGCCUGAAGUCGCGAUUAUCUCUCGGAGUAGGUGACCCAGAGCGACGAAACUUGGCAGACUUGUUUGGCCCGAUGGGCCACGCAUGCCAAAAGUGCAAUGUGGCGUCUCAGUGCCACCGCUUCCGGUGAAAGUGUCGCCGAAGGUACGCUAACUGGCCCGUAUUUGGCCCCGUUACCCCAUAAUAGGAGCCUGAAGUCGCGAUUAUCUCUCGGAGUAGGUGACCCAGAGCGACGAAACUUGGCAGACUUGUUUGGCCCGAUGGGCCACGCAUGCCAAAAGUGCAAUGUGGCGUCUCAGUGCCACCGCUUCCGGUGAAAGUGUCGCCGAAGGUACGCUAACUGGCCCG